rnacentral:rRNA from 1 species
CUACGAUGGUUGUAACGGGUACGGGGAAUUAGGGUUCGAUUCCGGAGAGGCGGCCUGAGAAACGGCCGCCACUUCCAAGGAAGGCAGCAGGCGCGUAAAUUAUCCAAUCCCAAUUCGGGGAGAUAGUGACAAGAAAUACUGAUGUAGGGGCUUCUGGUCCUUACUAUUGGAAUGAGAGCAAUGUAAAAACCUCAUCGAGGAACUAUUGGAGGGCAAGUCUGGUGCCAGCAGCCGCGGUAAUUCCAGCUCCAAGAGUGUAUAUUAAAGUUGUUGCGGUUAAAAAGCUCGUAGUUGACUUUAGGACUUGAGUACAUCGGUACUUCGUAGCUGUAAAAGGUUGCGGGGAAUUAAUGCCGGGUAAUUAUCUUGUCCUAUUCUGGGAGACAUUAAAACACGGUAGAAAAUACUGUGGUUUCUUAGGAUUUACUUUGAAUGAAUUAGAGUGUUUAAAGCAGACGAAAUCCGUCUUGAAUAAUUUAGCAUGGGAUAAUGAAAUAUGACCAUUUGCUCACGAUUCGUUGGUUUCUAGAGCAUUGGUAAUGACUAAUAGGGAUGGUCGGGGUCGUCCAUAUUCUGCGGUCAGAGGUGAAAUUCUAAGACCCGCAGAGGAUGAACAAAUGCGAAGGCAUUCGACAAGGACGUCUUCAUUAAUCAAGAACGAAAGUUAAGGGAUCGAAGAUGAUCAGAUACCGUCGUAGUCUUAACUGUAAACUAUGCAGACUCAGGAUCGGAGGAUGUUAUAUGGAUGACUCUUCUGGCACUGUGAGCGAAAGCAUAAGUAUUCGUGCUCCGGGGGGAGUAUGGUCGCAAGGCUGAAACUUAAAGGAAUUGACGGAAGGACACCACCAGGUGUGGAAUCUGCGGCUUAAUUUGACAACACGGGAAAACUCACCUGGUCCGGACACAGUGAGGAUUGACAGAUUGAUAGCUCUUUCUUGAUUUUGUGGAAGCCGGUGCAUGGCCGUUUUUAGUUGGUGGAGUGAUUUGUCUGCUUAAGUGCGAUAACGAACGAGACCUCGAUCUAUUAAAUAGGGGCGUGAACAGGGGAGUUCUCAUAGGAUAUCUAGGCCUAGCUUGGGUGUUCUUGGGUGCUUCCGUUUAGUUGUUUGCGAAAUUCCCUUCUUAGCGAGACUCCAGGCGAUUAGAGCUAGUCUGGGGAAGCUCGAGGCAAAAACAGGUCUGUGAUGCCGCUCGAUGUCCAGGGCUGCACGCGCAUUACACUGAAGUGUGCAACAAGUAGAAGUAAAAAAUGUCCUAGCGCGUUGGCGUGUAGGAAAUCUUAGAAAGCAUUUCGUGAUAGGGAUUGUGUAUUGAAACUAUUACACAUGAACGAGGAAUACCUAGUAAGGGUGAGUCAUCAACUUGCCCUGAUUACGUCCCUGUCCUUUGUACACACCGCCCGUCGCUUCUACCGAUUGGAUAACUCGAUGAGGACUCGGGA